GACGAACGCUGGCGGAGCGCUUAACACAUGCAAGUCGAGCGAGAACCAGGGCUUCGGCCCUGGGGACAGCGGCGAACGGGUGAGUAACACGUGGAUAACCUGCCCUCGGCACCGGGAUAGCCCGGGGAAACCCGGAUUAAUACCGGAUGGCCCUUCCGGCUCACGAGCCGGUCGGAAACGGUAGCUUCGGCCUCCGGCCGAGGAUGGGUCCGCGGCGGAUUAGCUUGUUGGUGGGGUAACGGCCCAACAAGGCUCCGAACCGUAGCUGGUCCGAGAGGACGGUCAGCCACACUGGGACUGAGACACGGCCCAUACUCCUACGGGAGGCAGCAGUGUGGAAUCUUGCGCAAUGGGCGAAAGCCUGACGCAGCGACGCCGCGUGAGGGAGGAAGGCCUUCGGGUUGUAAACCUCUUUCAGGAGGGACGAAGCUACUCGGGUGAAUAGCCCAGAGGGUGACGGUACCUCCAGAAGAAGCCCCGGCUAACUACGUGCCAGCCGCCGCGGUAACAC
rnacentral:rRNA from 1 species